rnacentral:rRNA from 1 species
AUGGACGAAAGUCUGAUGGAGCAACGCCGCGUGAGUGAAGAAGGUUUUCGGAUCGUAAAGCUCUGUUGUUGGUGAAGAAGGAUAGAGGUAGUAACUGGCCUUUAUUUGACGGUAAUCAACCAGAAAGUCACGGCUAACUACGUGCCAGCAGCCGCGGUAAUACGUAGGUGGCAAGCGUUGUCCGGAUUUAUUGGGCGUAAAGCGAGCGCAGGCGGAAGAAUAAGUCUGAUGUGAAAGCCCUCGGCUUAACCGAGGAACUGCAUCGGAAACUGUUUUUCUUGAGUGCAGAAGAGGAGAGUGGAACUCCAUGUGUAGCGGUGGAAUGCGUAGAUAUAUGGAAGAACACCAGUGGCGAAGGCGGCUCUCUGGUCUGCAACUGACGCUGAGGCUCGAAAGCAUGGGUAGCGAACAGGAUUAGAUACCCUGGUAGUCCAUGCCGUAAACGAUGAGUGCUAAGUGUUGGGGAGGUUGGCCGCCUCUCAGUGCUGCAGCUAACGCAUUAAGC